GGUUAAGCGACUAAGCGUACACGGUGGAUGCCCUGGCAGUCAGAGGCGAUGAAGGACGUGCUAAUCUGCGAUAAGCGUCGGUAAGGUGAUAUGAACCGUUAUAACCGGCGAUUUCCGAAUGGGGAAACCCAGUGUGUUUCGACACACUAUCAUUAACUGAAUCCAUAGGUUAAUGAGGCGAACCGGGGGAACUGAAACAUCUAAGUACCCCGAGGAAAAGAAAUCAACCGAGAUUCCCCCAGUAGCGGCGAGCGAACGGGGAGCAGCCCAGAGCCUGAAUCAGUGUGUGUGUUAGUGGAAGCGUCUGGAAAGGCGCGCGAUACAGGGUGACAGCCCCGUACACAAAAAUGCACAUACUGUGAGCUCGAUGAGUAGGGCGGGACACGUGGUAUCCUGUCUGAAUAUGGGGGGACCAUCCUCCAAGGCUAAAUACUCCUGACUGACCGAUAGUGAACCAGUACCGUGAGGGAAAGGCGAAAAGAACCCCGGCGAGGGGAGUGAAAAAGAACCUGAAACCGUGUACGUACAAGCAGUGGGAGCACGCUUAGGCGUGUGACUGCGUACCUUUUGUAUAAUGGGUCAGCGACUUAUAUUCUGUAGCAAGGUUAACCGAAUAGGGGAGCCGAAGGGAAACCGAGUCUUAACUGGGCGUUAAGUUGCAGGGUAUAGACCCGAAACCCGGUGAUCUAGCCAUGGGCAGGUUGAAGGUUGGGUAACACUAACUGGAGGACCGAACCGACUAAUGUUGAAAAAUUAGCGGAUGACUUGUGGCUGGGGGUGAAAGGCCAAUCAAACCGGGAGAUAGCUGGUUCUCCCCGAAAGCUAUUUAGGUAGCGCCUCGUGAAUUCAUCUCCGGGGGUAGAGCACUGUUUCGGCAAGGGGGUCAUCCCGACUUACCAACCCGAUGCAAACUGCGAAUACCGGAGAAUGUUAUCACGGGAGACACACGGCGGGUGCUAACGUCCGUCGUGAAGAGGGAAACAACCCAGACCGCCAGCUAAGGUCCCAAAGUCAUGGUUAAGUGGGAAACGAUGUGGGAAGGCCCAGACAGCCAGGAUGUUGGCUUAGAAGCAGCCAUCAUUUAAAGAAAGCGUAAUAGCUCACUGGUCGAGUCGGCCUGCGCGGAAGAUGUAACGGGGCUAAACCAUGCACCGAAGCUGCGGCAGCGACACUAUGUGUUGUUGGGUAGGGGAGCGUUCUGUAAGCCUGUGAAGGUGUACUGUGAGGUAUGCUGGAGGUAUCAGAAGUGCGAAUGCUGACAUAAGUAACGAUAAAGCGGGUGAAAAGCCCGCUCGCCGGAAGACCAAGGGUUCCUGUCCAACGUUAAUCGGGGCAGGGUGAGUCGACCCCUAAGGCGAGGCCGAAAGGCGUAGUCGAUGGGAAACAGGUUAAUAUUCCUGUACUUGGUGUUACUGCGAAGGGGGGACGGAGAAGGCUAUGUUGGCCGGGCGACGGUUGUCCCGGUUUAAGCGUGUAGGCUGGUUUUCCAGGCAAAUCCGGAAAAUCAAGGCUGAGGCGUGAUGACGAGGCACUACGGUGCUGAAGCAACAAAUGCCCUGCUUCCAGGAAAAGCCUCUAAGCAUCAGGUAACAUCAAAUCGUACCCCAAACCGACACAGGUGGUCAGGUAGAGAAUACCAAGGCGCUUGAGAGAACUCGGGUGAAGGAACUAGGCAAAAUGGUGCCGUAACUUCGGGAGAAGGCACGCUGAUAUGUAGGUGAAGUCCCUCGCGGAUGGAGCUGAAAUCAGUCGAAGAUACCAGCUGGCUGCAACUGUUUAUUAAAAACACAGCACUGUGCAAACACGAAAGUGGACGUAUACGGUGUGACGCCUGCCCGGUGCCGGAAGGUUAAUUGAUGGGGUUAGCGCAAGCGAAGCUCUUGAUCGAAGCCCCGGUAAACGGCGGCCGUAACUAUAACGGUCCUAAGGUAGCGAAAUUCCUUGUCGGGUAAGUUCCGACCUGCACGAAUGGCGUAAUGAUGGCCAGGCUGUCUCCACCCGAGACUCAGUGAAAUUGAACUCGCUGUGAAGAUGCAGUGUACCCGCGGCAAGACGGAAAGACCCCGUGAACCUUUACUAUAGCUUGACACUGAACAUUGAGCCUUGAUGUGUAGGAUAGGUGGGAGGCUUUGAAGUGUGGACGCCAGUCUGCAUGGAGCCGACCUUGAAAUACCACCCUUUAAUGUUUGAUGUUCUAACGUUGACCCGUGAUCCGGGUUGCGGACAGUGUCUGGUGGGUAGUUUGACUGGGGCGGUCUCCUCCUAAAGAGUAACGGAGGAGCACGAAGGUUGGCUAAUCCUGGUCGGACAUCAGGAGGUUAGUGCAAUGGCAUAAGCCAGCUUGACUGCGAGCGUGACGGCGCGAGCAGGUGCGAAAGCAGGUCAUAGUGAUCCGGUGGUUCUGAAUGGAAGGGCCAUCGCUCAACGGAUAAAAGGUACUCCGGGGAUAACAGGCUGAUACCGCCCAAGAGUUCAUAUCGACGGCGGUGUUUGGCACCUCGAUGUCGGCUCAUCACAUCCUGGGGCUGAAGUAGGUCCCAAGGGUAUGGCUGUUCGCCAUUUAAAGUGGUACGCGAGCUGGGUUUAGAACGUCGUGAGACAGUUCGGUCCCUAUCUGCCGUGGGCGCUGGAGAACUGAGGGGGGCUGCUCCUAGUACGAGAGGACCGGAGUGGACGCAUCACUGGUGUUCGGGUUGUCAUGCCAAUGGCACUGCCCGGUAGCUAAAUGCGGAAGAGAUAAGUGCUGAAAGCAUCUAAGCACGAAACUUGCCCCGAGAUGAGUUCUCCCUGACUCCUUGAGAGUCCUGAAGGAACGUUGAAGACGAC
rnacentral:rRNA from 1 species